rnacentral:misc_RNA from 1 species
GGUACUUAGCUUUAAUUCGCUUUUGGUUUCUCGAGUCGAGGAUGGUGGUAGUUAGUUUUUAUUCGUUGAUGGUAGCUCGCGAGCGCGGGCGGUCGUUGGUAGCUCUUAUUCGCUGAUGGUACUGCGAGUUCGCGGGAGAGUAAGUUAUUGCCAGGGUUUUUAUUUUAUACUUUAAACAUUGAUUUUAUUUUUUAUGUUUUUAGAUGUUCAUGUUUUUGAAUGUUUUAUUCGAAUAAUAUAAAAAAUAAAAUAUAUAUUGACAUGGAUUAAACAAAGAUAUAUAUUAUUCUAUGUUGUAUAAACAAAUUGGCAAAAUAGAGAUGGAA